ensembl:lincRNA
UGGCACCCGCAGUGAUGGUUUUCUGUGACCCGCAUAGCAACCCGAGGAGGAGGAAUUGUUAGGAUUUCCAUUUUACAGCUAAGAAAAUCGAGGCACAGCUGUUAAGUAAAAUGCCCCAAGCCACAGCUGCUUAGAGCCAGUCCACUGGCCCAGAUCUCAACCUUUGAACCACGAUGCUGAUGCAGCAGGGGCCAAUCCCUCAGCCUCCCUAGGCCUCAGCUCUUCCAUCUGUAAAAUGGAGUCAUAGCAUAUUCCUCAAAGGGCUGUUUUAGAGGUUUGAUGGCAUCCUAAUUUCGGAGUCCGGCAUAGCACCUGCUGUGUAGCAGGUGCUCAAUGAACAUGUACGCCUUUCCUCUUCUGUUCUCUCUGCAAUGAGGUUGAAUCCCCCAGUCUCACCUGGCUAUGACCCAACAAAGUCAGGCUCUAUGACUGGUUUGAAUGGAGGUUUGAGGUGGAGGGGAGGCCCCAUAGGAAGCACCAUGUACCCCUGCCCCUGGCUAGAGGGUCUGGCCACUCCCCUUUCUACCCACACCCUCUGUGGGCCACCUAAUGUGGGGAGUGGGAAUACCACCCUGCAGACCCCUCUUUUCUCUGGCCACAGGCAGCUAGUCCCACGUCCAGCCUGCCAAAGCCCUCUGCAGCCCCCACCCCUGCCCGCCUCUACUCCCAGGAGUGGAGGGCUCUCUUUGCAGGAGCCCAGAAGUUCAUUUCCUGUUCCAGCAGCUCCUGAGGUUGGGGAACCCCGCGUGCCUUCCACCGUCCUCUGCAUCUCAGCUCUGACUUGGCAGCCCUCCGACCUCGGCCUGGUUACUUCGCCUUUCAGCAGCUUCUUUAUGUGGCUGCAGUGAGAAUUAAGUGACAUAAUCCAUGUACAGUGCCAGGCACACAGAAGGUCAUUCAGGAAAGAUGAUUAAACUACUCACCCAGGGACACUGACUGGUAAGUGGCAGAGCCUGGGUUUGAACCCAGGUCUACUGAAUGCUAGAGCCUGUGGAAACUGGAGCUUU